CGUAAAAGAAAAAAAAAGUGGGAAAUUCUAUAAAUAGUACACCUUUUGACCGCUUCCUUACGUCUCCUUAAGCCUGAAGUUCUCGUCCAUCCGCUGAUCGUGCUUUUGUCCACAAAAUGCCCCGCCGUUAUCAAUGAGUCUGUGAUUGGCUACAAGAACUUGUCCUGUCAGGUUCCCACGGCAAGCCUCCCAACCACCGAAGGGGUGUGGCAAUUGUUCCCCUCGUUUGGGAUCUGUGUGGACGGGGAUUGGUGGAGGGCUACUUUAGUGCAGAAUCUUAAAACUCCACCAAAGUACACAAAAGCUCGUUAAGAUAAGGAGGAGGUCCAAUGAAGCGUUAAGGAAAGCGAGGCGAGAGUCAAAGUCAGGUGGACAGGGGAAGAGGAGAGAGAAACAAACGAAAAGAGGAUUUUGAAGAAACCAAGUGAAAAGAAAAUGAAAAAGAAAUGGAAUGAAAGAAAAGAAAAAGAAAUGAAUAUGGAAAUAUCGUUGAUUGUUUGGAAUGGAUUGUUGUUAAUUUUAGUAAUGUUGAUUUUUAAUAAUGUUAAUUUUAGUAUGCUUGAUUGUCGAGUAUUUACUGGCUUGGCUUUAAAUUGUGUUGUCGAUAUUGUUGAUAUGAUCGAUUGAUUGUUGUAAUGUAAUCAAUAUUGAAAAUCCAUUUUUAACUCUCUCUACAAAUGCUCACCCUGGCUCAUCUAUGCUUGCUUUUUUACUGACACUUGCCUCUUUCUCACUUGUCCUAGUCGUUUACGUAGUAGACUUUUAGAUUUCGUGGUAGUUUGAAUUUCGUGGCGAUUUUGCGAUUUCCAUUCAACUAAUUUUGCUUUUUGCUUUUUGCCAUUUUAUUUUUAUUUUUUUCGUUUUUUUCUUUUUAUUUUCUUCUUUUUCUUUUAUUUUCUUUCCUUCUUUCCUCUCGGUUUCACUGGGCUAGACAGCGCGGUGCGGUGCGGUGCGCUACUUCAUUGCCAAUAUGUGUGCAAUCCAUAAUGUUGGAAUUU